UUCAUUCACUUUACUUCCGUGUGUUAAAGUGGGCGGGGUAAUUCGAAGACGCCGGCGUUCAAUUUGGUAUUAGUGUUCAGUUCCGAGAGAAAAAGUGGGAAAUCAUGAAUGUUGAGCACGAAAUAGGUCUUCUGAAGGAAGAAAUUAAAAGAUUAGGAACACCAGGUGCUGAUGGAACACUACAAGUUGAAUUUGGAGUCCUUUUCAACGAUGAGAAAUGUGCAAAUAUGUUUGAGGCCCUGGUAGGGACUCUGAAAGCAGCCAAGAAGAGGAAGAUCGUCAAGUAUGAUGGAGAACUGCUAUUGCAAGGGGUCCAUGAUAAAGUCCCGAUUGUACUGCUAGAACAGUGACACUAGCACAAUGUAGUAAAGUGGUAAAGUAGACUACUCAAAAGAAGUUAAGGACCACCUGAUUCUUUAAUAGAACUGUGGUUAAUCUGUCGCCACCCAAUUUUUACCUAUAACUAUAGAUACUUUGUCAUGACAUGACAGAUUAACUAGAGUAAUAUGGAAGAAUCGGGCGGUCUGUAACUUCUUUUGAGUAGCAUCUUUGCUUUAAAUAUUAUCAGGUUCAAGUGAAAAAAUGAUUGUACAAAAUAUUGUUUGGUUGUCAUAGAAAACAUUAACAUAUACAGUAAGGCAGAAGGGAUCCACUGAUGUGCUAGGAUAUUUUGAAUUUGACUUUCAUUGUUUCAGCCAUAGAAAUGAGUUCAUGAAAGACUUACCUGAUGAGUGAAUAUUGGCAUUAACCAAAUCUGUUUCAUUUUUAUGUUUCCAAUCUGUUCAAAUGAACCACUUGCUACUGUAUGUUACAUUGCUCACAUUUUGUUUGCAAUCUUUCCAUUUUUUUAUUUGUUUUGACUCUGUGACUCAAACUCAAGUAUGUGUUCAUAUUUUUUAAAUUUGUCCAGUAUUAUUUGGUGUUCGUAUUUCUCCUCUGUGCCAAAUGUUUGUAAUCGGCUGGUGGUAAAAUUGGUUUGGAAUAUUGAUAUGUUGGGGAGUGUUGAAACAAUUUGAAGACAGAAGUUUUUCACACUAUACAUUUCUCUUUCUUCUUUCGAUCCUAAGUGGAAACGUGUCUGAAACAAAGGUUUCCAGCUUCUAAAAUGAAUUCACCCAUACAUACCUCACAUCACUAUGGUCACCUCCCAACAUCUGGGUCACUCACGCUUGCAUGCUGGUUGACCUGAAUGUCCACUGUUUGUAUAUCAGACUAAUAUAUUUAAGUUGAUGAAUCAUGAGUGGUGCAGAGAGUAAAGGAUGUCGCCAGCCAAUAUUACUGUAAGUUGUUCAGGACAUUAAUUCCUGUAAUGAAUGUGUGAAAUUAAGAAAGAUUGGAAUAUGAAUGUCAUAACAACUGGUGUUGUCCCUAAGGGUGCCAUUGUUUGGAAAGUUUAGUAUUGAUAUAUCGACUCAAAGGUAUCAUGAUAUAUGAAUUAAUAUCAAAAUUAGUUCUUCAGUAUGUGUGUAUAUCAAAUUUAGACCUGCAAUUUGUUAACUUAAUGUCCAUCUAGACUAUUUUAACAAAUGAAACCAUUUCUGUGGCAGUGAAUUAUUAGUUUAGUAUCAAUAUUCAUAAAUUUGUAUAGAUACAGUGUCAAGAUAAAACAUGUAUUGAGACAUCAAUAUCAGGUUACACAAUGACAUCCCUUAUUGUCCCACAAAACCACUAUCACAUAUCAUACAAAUAUUAGAUUUUUUGUUUAAGACAGGGUAUUUCAUAUUAAUAUGUUUUGUAAUAAUUUUGUAAAAAUCAAAUUAAAGUGCCUUGUAAUUCUUUUAUAUUUUCAAGGUUCCAUGCAGCUGUAUCAGACUAUAUAUAUUUUGAUCACUGUUAUGCAGUUUACUGAACAGUUUAUGUAUGACAAUAAGUUUUGUGCAAUAAGCAGCAUUUUUCCUAACAAUCUAUGAGGUUUCCAAACCUUGAGGAUAUACAUUCAAAAUAAAAGGUCUACACAUCUGA
rnacentral:lncRNA from 1 species